UUAUCUAUAAUCAUGCAUAUGCAUUGAGUUUGAUGAGAAAAUUUACAAAAGGAGUUGAAUUAAUACGACCUGCACAAACUAGAUUUGCCACAAAUGUAUUGACUGUGCAGAGCAGAGUGUGGUGAAACAAAGAACUCCUUUGAGACAGAUGUUUGCUAGUGAAGAAUGGGCUACAUAUCCACAUGCUCAUAAAAGAAAUGCUUCUUUAGUUGUGGAUAUUAUAUUCAAUAACGUAUUUUGGGAAUCAUGUGUGAAGUUAUUGAAGGUUUGUGUUCCAUUAGUUAAGGUUCUCAGGUUGGCUGACAGCGAGGACAGACCUUCCAUACGGUACUUAUAUGAGGCUAUGGACAAAGCAAAAGAGGCAAUUCGAGAUAACUUAAAGGAAAAGAAAAAGUUAUAUAUGCCCAUAUAGAAGAUUAUAGAUAAAAGGUGGACUGGACAGCUUCAUCAACCUCUUCAUGCAGCAGCUUAUUAUCUAAAUCCUGCAAUUAGAUUUUCUCCUACAUUUAAGAAGGACAGAGAAGUCAUGCAUGGUUUGUUAGAUUGUAUUAAUGUGUUAGUGGAAGAUUCUACAGAACAAGAUGCUGUGCACAAUGAGUUGGAUCUAUAUGAUAGUUGUUUUCGGAACAUGGGACUACCUGCCGCCGUUCGAGCCAGGACAACGAUGCGUCCAGAUUUGUGGUGGAAUAGGUAUGGGUUUGAUUGUCCAAACCUAGCACGUUUUGCAGUCAAAGUCCUCAGCCAGACAUGCAGUGCUAGUGGAUGCGAAAGGAACUGGAGUGUGUUCUAACAUAUCCAUAGCAAAAAAAGGAAUAGGCUCGAACAUAAAAGGUUGAAUGACCUUGUCUUUGUUCGAUAUAAUAUGAGGUUGAAACAAAGAGAAUUAGAAAAAUCAUUAGCAAGGAAGCACACAUCUCAGUUCGAUCCUAUCAGCUUAGAAAAUUUUUGACGAUCUAGAGCCAUGGAUUGAAGAAGAACCAGCUACAAUAUUUGAUGAUGAAGAUCUUGAAUGCUUCAACCUUGAAGUUGAAGCAACAGAAGGCUUUGUUGAUGAAGGAGAGUCUGCUACUGCGGGUGCUGAAUAUGUUGGUGAAGAUCUUCCAAUUCUUGACGAUGAAGAAGAAGAAGAAGAUGAAGAUGAUGAAGAUUAUGAAUGAUGAAUCAUGAAUGAGAGUCAAGUCAAGAGUGCUUUCAUUUUAUAUGUAUCAAAAACUUAAGAGUUAUGAAUCUAUGGUUGUUGAACACUUGAUUGAAUGUUUUAUCAUUUAUGACUUUAUCACUUUAUGGCUUAUGGCCUUAUGCUUUGUUGAAUGAUAUUGUAUUAUUAUUGUUAUGAAUUUUGAUGUUUAUGAAUGAUGAACGCGUAAGUUUAUAGCAAUAAUAAGUCUAUCAUUAUCUCAAACAUGUUUUCUAUGAACAAUUUAUUAUUUUUAAUUUUUUCUGAUUUUUUUAUGAAUUUUCCGAUUUUUUUUAAAUUUUUUCUGAUUUAUUAAUAAUUUUUAAAAAAAAUUUACGAUACGGUUACGAUACGUUACGAUACGGCGUAUCUUAAAGCCCGACCGAUACGGCUUACGAUACGCGUUUUACA